UGGGGAAUUUUGGACAAUGGGGGAAACCCUGAUCCAGCCAUUCCGCGUGAGUGAAGAAGGCCUUCGGGUUGUAAAGCUCUUUCGCAAGGAAAGAAAACUUAACCCUCUAAUAUAGGGUGAGGCUGACGGUACCUUGAGAAGAAGCACCGGCUAACUACGUGCCAGCAGCCGCGGUAAUACGUAGGGUGCGAGCGUUAAUCGGAAUUACUGGGCGUAAAGCGUGCGCAGGCGGUUUGAUAAGUCAGAUGUGAAAGCCCCGGGCUCAACCUGGGAACUGCGUUUGAAACUGUCAGGCUAGAGUAUGGGAGAGGGAGGUAGAAUUCCACGUGUAGCAGUGAAAUGCGUAGAGAUGUGGAGGAAUACCAAUGGCGAAGGCAGCCUCCUGGCCUAAUACUGACGCUCAUGCACGAAAGCGUGGGGAGCAAACAGGAUUAGAUACCCUGGUAGUCCACGCCCUAAACGAUGUCUACUAGUUGUUGGU
rnacentral:rRNA from 1 species